rnacentral:lncRNA from 1 species
UGCCACUUUCCUUAACUCUUUUCAAAACAUGCCAUAAUGUUAUUGUGUGCAGCCGCAAAAUAACGAUGUUGCCCUCGCAGAAAAAGACAAAAAAAACGAUAAACAAAAUCAAAAUAAAAAAGAGAUCUUGUCCACCAGAUCUGGUCCACUAGAUCUGAUCCACCAUAACUAAUUUGAAUCUAGUCCACCAAAAUAGGUUCGUCGAAGGUUGUUCUUCUAUAGAAAAAUGAAUCUUGUCCACCAUAAACGCAUCACUUGUUUUAUCAUCUGGUCCGUCGAAUCAGAUCCACUAGAACUGUCAGCCGGAACAAGCCUAUCAUAACUAGUUUUUGUCCGCAGUAAAUAGUUUAUCUUGUCCAUCGUAACUGGUCUAUCUGGUAUGCCGGAACUGGUCUGUUGGAACUGGUUAUAGUUCGUCGGAACUGCUCUGCCAAAUCUGGUCUAUUGGAACUCGUCUAUCUGGUCUGUCAGAACUGGUCUGUCGAAUCUGGUCUGCGAGAAUUGGUUAUAGUUCACCAGAACUGACUAUGGUCUGCCGGAACUCGUCCGCCGGAAUUCUGGUCGAAACUCGUCCGCCGAAGUUCUGGUCUGUUGGAACUGGUCCGACGAAGUUCUUGUCUGUUGGAACUGGUCCGCCGGAAUGAGUCCGAUGGAUCUGGUCUGCUGGAAUUAGUUCGCUGGAUCUGGUCCGUCAGAAGUAGUCUGUUGGAUCUAGUCCGCCGGAUUUCAUCUGCUGGAUCUGGUCCGCCGGAAUUCGUCCGCUAGAUCUGCUCCGCCGGAAUAGUUUGUUGUUGGAAAAAUAAAAAGAAGAUGAGGAAGAAGAAAUUAUUGAAAAAGAAAAAAAUUAGGUUUUAGAGAUUUCAUUGAUGAGAGGGUAUAAAUGUCAUUCUUCAUAACCCUUGUGGCAGGCGGGAGAAGACAAAAAAUAAAAUGGCAUUGGAUAGAAGAUUGGUUAAUGUACAUGGCAUAAUAUAUAAUUUUCUCUUUUUAAAAAGAGGUAUAUGAAAAAGGGUAUUUUUGAAAUUCCCCC